AGAAGGGAGGGGAGAGAUGAGAGAUGUACCAGGUGUAACAAGCGCUUGGGAUGGAUGCGAGAGGCAAGUGUGAAAAGGGAGAUGGCGGAUGAGAUCCAACUGCAAAGCUGCGUUUCUUUUGAGUUCCUCAGUGGGAGAGUUAAGUAACCUUUCGAUCUGAUUUGAAUAUCUUUGGGGGGGGGAGGGUAGAACUGCACCUUUGAUCCACGACGGCUGAAAAGUGCGAAGAAGACACACAAUUCCCUCCUCUCUCAUUCCCGGGAAAUUCUUUAUUUUAUUCUUUACAGAUCGGACGGCUUGAAAGUUGUGCUUGCAAGAUAAGGACCCAUUCGUGAAUAUUAGGCCACUUGUUCUGAUUAACAUAUGCCACCUACCCCGUUUAUAAAGCACUAUUUGAUUUCGAGUCAUUCGGGCCAUCUGGUUUGAACUCGAGAAUUGGUGGCAAUACUGAUAGACAGGCAAGCAGUUUGAUUGAUGUCCUAAGUACUUUCCAUUCUUAUUGUCCUUAAUGAUAAUUUAUUUCAAUCACUAUCCUAUAUAUAAUUCUUUUUUUCCCUCGCCCUCCACAGGAUCAGAAGAUGCUUUGAUAAGGUUCAACCCGACAGAAAUAAUCAAGCGGCAGGUUAUUCAAAUUUCAAGCGACAGAGCAGAUAUUUGUAGUGCAGACGCAGGCGGGCUUCGGGCUUUUUGGAUCUACUUUGUUUGUUUGUUUGUUUGUUUGUUUUGCCCAAGAUCUACCAACCAGAGCCAUCUUCAAACAAACAAACAAACAAACAAACAAACAAACCCCCCCCCUCACAGAAUUGUUGAACAAGGUGACUCUGAGCCCUUUUAUACAAAAGUCCCUGCCUAGCUAAUUGUCUUCAUUUCCAUCCCUUAAUUUGGAUUAGACAAGUCAUAUAGGUUGUUGCCAUUAAUACACAGUUGGGUGUCGGAAAUUUUUGCUGAUCUGCUGUAAAUCAGAGAUCUGCCAGUAGGUUCAGAUCCACAUUCUGUCUCCUUUUAUAAAAUAUAAUCAGGAAUGUGUUGUGGACGUCAGUUUUUCUUGCAUUUUUGUGCAGUCAUUUAACAUAAGUAAUAUCUUCAAUGUAUCCCUCCUUUUUCCGCAGUCAGAAAAUCUGUUUGUUAAGUAAUAUCAAAUGACCGCUAAACCAUCCCUGGCAACUCUAUUACCCUUAUUUUCAAAGAAUGUUGGUUGCGCUGUAAUGAACCUUCAAUCAAUGUUUCCAGUCUGGUAAAGCAUUUAUGGGCAUUUUUGAGGGUUUUUGUAGAGACGCAAAACAACAAAACGCACAAAGGCAAGUACACACUCCCUUCCCCUUAAUAAUGUCAAGAGAAAGGGUUGGGUUGAAGGAUCGUAAAUGGGGAUGGAAGGAGGGGUGAGUGUAAACAAGUAAGCAAAAAAAAUCUAGGAUCUGUUUCCAGUACAAAGACCAGGGUAUUAUUUCUGAGGAGGACUAGAAAACCAUGUUAUGCUGAGGAACUCCAUGGACAGAACCGCCGAUGUCUACACUCAAAACUCGUCCUCGUUGAGCUCGUUGAGAUCGUCACUCAAGGAAGUGCGUACAGGGCUGCAGCCUAGAUCCAUGUCAUUCCCUUUCUGUCUACCACCUCUCUCUAGUAAGUCCCUAAGCUUCGCCGUUUGAAGCCGCUCUUCACAUCACACUGAUGAUCCAGCCAAAGUGAAAGUAAACGAGAUUAAGAACUUCCUUUUGUGCUUGGUGCGUACAGUGGUACCUCGGGUUAAGUACUUAAUUCGUUCCAGAGGUCUGUUCUUAACCUGAAACUGUUCUUAACCUGAAGCACCACUUUAGCUAAUGGGGCCUCCUGCUGCUGCUGUGCCGCCGGAGCACAAUUUCUGUUCUUAUCCUGAAGCACAGUUCUUAACCUGAAGCACUAUUUCUGGGUUAGCUGAGUGUGUAACCUGAAGCGUAUGUAACCCGAGGUACCACUGUAUCUAAAUAGGAAAUAUAUAUCUAUUUAUUCAGUUCAUUCAUUGUAGUUGUAUCCAACCCGUUCUCCAGUAAGUUCGGGAGAGUGUGCAUUGAGAUGGUUGGCUGUGGUGUCUUCCUUCCUUUUUGCCAGUAUCACGCCCACCACAGUUCUCUGAGGUUCGUUAGUGAAAUUUAGUGAGUGCCUCCGGGUAUUAUUCAUCUCCUCUGGAUCUUGAAAACACACACACACAUUCAGAUGAAACACCCAGGUGUAAAGUGCCCCACUUCAAAGGUCCAGAACCGUCUGCUGCGUCACCCCGGAACAAAUCCUUCAAAGACGACCAGCGCCCUCAGUCAAAGUGAAUGACAACCCAACAGCCACGCGUCAUCCUAAACAUCACCUAUUUAUUACAGAAAAUUGCCUGGAAAGGCAAAUAUAAUAUGCAGAAUAUAUAAUAUGUUUUAAACGGUUCUCUUUUUAUCCUUUUAUAAUCUUCCUUGACUCUUGGAAAGGCGCCAUAAAAAGAUUUAAAUAAAUAAUUUGUUUCUUCAGCGUUCUAGGAAUCUGCACAAGGAAGAAGGCUGGACGCUGGAGUGAUAUUUUUGUUGCCGAACCUGUAGAUCAAUGUUAAAAACACUUAAUAAAAUACCCUUCGGAAAAUGCAA